rnacentral:rRNA from 1 species
CACGGAGGGGGCUAGCGUUGUUCGGAAUUACUGGGCGUAAAGCGCACGUAGGCGGCUUUGUAAGUUAGAGGUGAAAGCCCAGGGCUUAACCCUGGAAUUGCCUUUAAGACUGCAUCGCUAGAAUCGUGGAGAGGUGAGUGGAAUUCCGCGUGUAGCAGUGAAAUGCGUAGAUAUGCGGAGGAACACCGAUGGCGAAGGCAAUCCCCUGGACCUGUACUGACGCUCAUGCACGAAAGCGUGGGGAGCAAACAGG